rnacentral:rRNA from 1 species
AACUGCGAAUGGCUCAUUAAAUCAGUUAUCGUUUAUUUGAUAGUACCUUACUACUUGGAUAACCGUGGUAAUUCUAGAGCUAAUACAUGCUGAAAACCCCGACUUCGGAAGGGGUGUAUUUAUUAGAUAAAAAACCAAUGCCCUCCGGGGCUCCUUGGUGAUUCAUAAUAACUUCUCAGAUCGCAUGGCCUUGCGCCGGCGACGGUUCAUUCAAAUUUCUGCCCUAUCAACUUUCGAUGGUAAGGUAUUGGCUUACCAUGGUUUCAACGGGUAACGGGGAAUUAGGGUUCGAUUCCGGAGAGGGAGCCUGAGAAACGGCUACCACAUCCAAGGAAGGCAGCAGGCGCGCAAAUUACCCAAUCCCGACACGGGGAGGUAGUGACAAUAAAUACUGAUACAGGGCUCUUUUGGGUCUUGUAAUUGGAAUGAGUACAAUUUAAACCUCUUAACGAGGAACAAUUGGAGGGCAAGUCUGGUGCCAGCAGCCGCGGUAAUUCCAGCUCCAAUAGCGUAUAUUAAAGUUGUUGCAGUUAAAAAGCUCGUAGUUGAACCUUUGGCCUGGCUGGCAGGUCCGCCUCACCGCGUGCACUUGUCCGGCCGGGCCUUCUCUUCUGGAGAACCGCAUGCCCUUCACUGGGUGUGUUGGGGACCAGGACUUUUACUUUGAAAAAAUUAGAGUGUUCAAAGCAGGCCUUUGCUCGAAUACGUUAGCAUGGAAUAAUAGAAUAGGACGUGCGGUCCUAUUUUGUUGGUUUCUAGGACCGCCGUAAUGAUUAAUAGGGACAGUCGGGGGCAUCAGUAUUCAAUUGUCAGAGGUGAAAUUCUUGGAUUUAUUGAAGACUAACUACUGCGAAAGCAUUUGCCAAGGAUGUUUUCAUUAAUCAGUGAACGAAAGUUAGGGGAUCGAAGACGAUCAGAUACCGUCGUAGUCUUAACCAUAAACUAUGCCGACUAGGGAUCGGGCGGUGUUAUUAUUUUGACUCGCUCGGCACCUUACGAGAAAUCAAAGUGUU